GGGCACAUGGUGUAGUUGGUUUAUCACGCCCGCUUAGCAUCUACGUUGUCGCUGCGGGAGGUGUUGGGUUUAAUUCCCAAUGUGUCCA